ensembl:snRNA U6 U6 spliceosomal RNA
CUGUUCGCUUUGGCAGCACAUAUACUAAAAUUGAAAUGAUACAGAGAAAAUUAGCAUGGCCCCUGUGCUAGGAUGGCAGGCAAAUUUGUGAAGCAUUCUAUAAUUUU